UACGUAGGGAGCAAGCGUUGUCCGGAAUCAUUGGGCGUAAAGCGCGCGUAGGUGGCCUCAUAAGUCCGCUGUGAAAGUCCAGGGCUCAACCCUGGAAUGCCGGUGGAAACUGUCGAGCUAGAGUCCGGAAGAGGCGAGUGGAAUUCCUGGUGUAGCGGUGAAAUGCGCAGAUAUCAGGAGGAACACCGGUGGCGAAGGCGGCAUCCUGGACCGGCAUUGACGCUGAGUGAGCGAAAGCCAGGGGAGCAAACGGG
rnacentral:rRNA from 1 species